rnacentral:rRNA from 1 species
AACGAACGCUGGCGGCAGGCCUAACACAUGCAAGUCGAGCGAACCGCAAGGUUAGCGGCGGACGGGUUAGUAACGCGUGGGAACGUGCCCAAAGGUACGGAAUAGCCUCGGGAAACUGAGAGUAAUACCGUAUGUGCCCGCAAGGGGAAAGAUUUAUCGCCUUUGGAUCGGCCCGCGUUGGAUUAGGUAGUUGGUGGGGUAAUGGCCUACCAAGCCGACGAUCCAUAGCUGGUUUGAGAGGAUGAUCAGCAACACUGGGACUGAGACACGGCCCAGACUCCUACGGGAGGCAGCAGUGGGGAAUCUUAGACAAUGGGGGAAACCCUGAUCUAGCCAUGCCGCGUGAGCGAUGAAGGCCUUAGGGUUGUAAAGCUCUUUCACCGGGGAAGAUAAUGACGGUACCCGGAGAAGAAGCCCCGGCUAACUCCGUGCCAGCCGCCGCGGUAACAC